AUUGAACGCUGGCGGCAGGCCUAACACAUGCAAGUCGAACGGAAGAAGGGAGCAUCUUGCUGCAUUGAUCAGCGGAGGGGGACGUGAGGGCUAGGACUGGGCAAGGGCGUGGGGGAGGGGGUCAGCUACCGGGAACGGUUGCUGAAACCGCACAACGGCACAAGGCGAGAGAGGUGGGCAUCCCAGGCUAUCGGCAUCGGCUAGGUCGGAUUAGCUAGUUGGUGGGGUAACGGCAUACCUAGGCGACGAUCCCUAACUGGUCUGAGAGGAUGAGCAGGCACACUGGAACUGAGACACGGUCCAGACUCCUACGGGAGGCAGCAGUGGGGAAUAUUGCACAAUGGGCGCAAGCCUGAUGCAGCCAUGCCGCGUGUAUGAAGAAGGCCUUCGGGUUGUAAAGCACUUUCAGUGGGGAGGAAGGGAAUUAAGUUAAUACCUUGCCUUAUUGACGUUACCAGCAGAAGAAGCACCGGCUAACUUCGUG
rnacentral:rRNA from 1 species